UCUCCGUAGGUGAACCUGCUGAGGGAUCAUUACUGAGUGAGGGCCUUCGGGCUCGACCUCCAACCCUUUGUGAACACAACUUGUUGCUUCGGGGGCGACCCUGCCGUUUCGACGGCGAGCGCCCCCGAAGGCCUUCAAACACUGCAUCUUUGCGUCGGAGUUUAAAACAAACGAAACAAAACUUUCAACAACGGAUCUCUUGGUUCUGGCAUCGAUGAAGAACGCAGC
rnacentral:misc_RNA from 1 species